CAGAUGUGAAAGACCCGGGGCGUCAACCUCGGAAUUGCAUUUGUAAACUAGGCAGACUAGAGUACUGUAGAGGGGGUAGGAAUUUCAGGUGUAGCGGUGAAAUGCGUAGAGAUCUGAAGGAAUACCGGUGGCGAAGGCGGCCCCCUCGGACAGAUACUGACACUCAGAUGCGAAAGCGUGGGGAGCAAACAGGAUUAGAUACCCUGGUAG
rnacentral:rRNA from 1 species